rnacentral:pre_miRNA from 11 species
CAAUAACCAACUGCAAGACCCCCGAAGGGAGACCCUCACUCAAAUCUCGGGAAUAGCGCACACCCAGUGAGGCACUGAGAUCG